rnacentral:rRNA from 1 species
GACGAACUGCCCAAACGUUGUUCGGAAUCACUGGGCUUAAAGGGUGCGUAGGCGGCUUACCAAGUCAGGGGUGAAAUCCGGCAGCUCAACUGUCGAAGUGCCUUUGAUACUGGUGAGCUCGAGGGAGGUAGGGGUCCGUGGAACUUCUGGUGGAGCGGUGAAAUGCGUUGAUAUCAGAAGGAACGCCGGUGGCGAAAGCGACGGACUGGAUCUUUUCUGACGCUGAGGCACGAAAGCUAGGGGAGCAAACGGG